rnacentral:rRNA from 1 species
AACGCUGGCGGCAGGCCUCAAACAUGCAAGUCUAGGGGGGUAGCAAUACCCACCGGCGGACGGGUGCGUAACACGUGGGAACAUACCUUUCGGUACGGAACAACUGAGGGAAACUUCAGCUAAUACCGUAUACGUCCUUAGGGAGAAAGAUUUAUCGCCGAAAGAUUGGCCCGCGUUCGAUUAGCUAGUUGGUGGGGUAACGGCCCACCAAGGCAACGAUCGAUAGCUGUUCUGAGAGGAAGAUCAGCCACACUGGGUCUGAGACACGGCCCAGACUCCUACGGGAGGCAGCAGUUGGGAAUCUUGGACAAUGGGGGAAACCCUGAUCCAGCCAUGCCGCGUGAGUGAUGAAGGCCUUCGGGUUGUAAAGCUCUUUACCCGGGAAGAUAAUGACUGUACCGGGAGAAUAAGCUCCGGCUAACUUCGUGCCAGCAGCCGCGGUAAUACGAAGGGGGCUAGCGUUGUUCGGAAUUACUGGGCGUAAAGCGUGCGCAGGCGGCUUCCCAAGUCAGUGGUGAAAGCCCGGAGCUCAACUCCGGAAUUGGCAUUGAAACUGUGAAGCUUGAGGACGAGAGAGGUGAGUGGAAUUCCCAGUGUAGAGGUGAAAUUCGUA